rnacentral:antisense_RNA from 1 species
GGGCAGGGGAAGGCGCCUUUCCGCAUUUGGUGUAGUCCCGCAUGCUGCCAUAUGAGGGCGCCAGAGAACGCGCCUACCGGGAUAGGGUGGGGCAAGGAGGCGAGGAAGAAAAAAAAGCGACAAGUGAACAUUGACAUCCAUGAAGGCCAAUGGUAGCUCAAUCUUCAGUUCUCUGACUCCCAAGCUUCCCAUUCUCUUAGGAGGCUGCAUUUGUGGCGCUAAAAAAAGGGAUGGGCGUGGGAGAUUCCAGGACAUGUGCUCGCUGAAGAUACAACUGUUAGUCCAAGCUCCUGUAUCAGCAGGGCUUGCGCCUGAUAGGUGAUGAUCAUGAGGGGGACCAGUAGCCUCUAGACUUAGAGACAAGUUCCCAGCAUUCUCCAGAUGGAGUGUUUACCUCACCAGCUCCCCUUGCUGGUCAGUUUGACAAGCAGAUGAACAGAAGUUCUCAAAUACACAAUAGUGGAUUCUAUCAACCAAGUUACAUAAAGAGUUCUGAUUCCCAGAGAUAGCAGAUCCUGUCAACCACAUUUCAUAGAGUUCUGAUUCCAAGAGCAGGAGACCUGUCUCUGAUGCUGCUGAGGCACUUUCAAAAUCAUUAUAUAGAAAUCUAUUGGAUGCCAUAAAACUGGACAUCAGCAAAUGUCAAAAUGGGACUUUCUAGCACUUAUCCUCAUACAGAAACAUCAAUUUAUACUACUAUAUGUGCAUAAAAGUACCUUCACAGGAGCUACGUAAACCAGGUGAAAUGUUACAGAAUCUUUGUGUAGCAGUGAAAUAAGAAAAGAUGAAUUGAAGAGCAUAGAAAGAACACUGUUACAUUACCUGUGUCACCCUUGCCACAACACCAGACAGCAGAGCACAGAGAGAGGCAAUCUUUGAAGAAAAGGGAAGUAGGCACUGAACUUUGCCUUGGAUUCCAACAUACAGCCUGCUUCAGUAAAAUCCAGUAACAGGUAUGCCCCUAUGACCCCAAUGUCUAGGCUGGUACCUGCAGACUAUGCCAGAGCAGAUCCCACAGCCCAGGCUCCAGGCUUGCCUGGUGGACUUGGUUUCUGGUUAUAUCUUAAUGUCAGGUCUACACCAUGCUUAUGUGUCAGAUUGUCCCUGGACCAGGCCAGCCCCAGUAACUCCAGGCUCCUGACUGCUCCCAGAACCAGGCUGGCCUCCACAACUCCAGGUUUCAGAACAUCCCAAGGACCAGGCUGGCCCCUGCAACUCUAGUCACCAAGCCAGUGUCCACAGAUCCAACCUCUUGGCUGGCCUCUGUGGAUACUGGAUCUAGGACAGCCUAGCACCAGGCUAUUCCCUGUAGUCACAGAACCCAAGUCGACCCUAGGUUUCUGACCAGCCCGGAACUAGAUUGGCUCACACAAAUCCAGGAUUCAGGCACAGCCAAUUUCAAGGUUGGCAGCCCUAGACCUACCCCUUAGCCAGGUAUCUGGGAAGCCUCGGCAGACUCAGGCUCCAGGCCUGCCUAGGGCUUAGGGAGUUUCUGCCACCCCCAUCUCUAGGCCAGUUCCUUUGGUCCCAUGCUCCAGCAGACCCAGGGUCCAGGCCCAUCAGAGUUGACUCCAGUAUUGGGCUGGUACCUACAGACCCAGGAUCUAAAACUGCCUCUGUGGACCUAGGUUCCAGUCCAGUUCCUAUAGCCCCAGGACCCAGCUAGCCUUUGUGGAACUAGUCUCCAUGCCAGCUUAUGAAGACUUUGGUUCUAGGCCAGAUCUUACACACCCAGCCUCCAGGCCAUACCCCAGACUCUAGGCCAGUGCCUGUGGCUACAUGAACCAGUCUAGCACCUAUGAUCUCAGGCUCUAGGCUGGUCCCCCUUGACCCCAGUGAUAGGCCAGCUUCAGGCUCCAGGAUGGGUUUCAUGUCCCAGGAUCCAAAACACUCAGGGCCCAGCUGUGCUCUAGCACACACAGGAUAAAUGCUGACUUCACUAGACCCUGAUGCUAGGCUGACCAUCUUGGACCAUGGCUCUACAACCAUCUCUGAAGAUUCAGGCUCCAGGUCAGCCCCCAUCUACCAAGGUCCCAGACCCAUUUCUCCAGAUUCAGGCUCCAAUCCUGCACCAGUACUAGGCCAGUCCCCAUGGACUCAGAUUCCAGGCUCAUUCCAGCAGACUCAGACACCAGGCCAAUCCCAAAACCUGGCCAGCCCCUGGAGGCAUAGGCUCAAUGCCCACCUCAUAGCCAUGUGAGACCAUGUGGACCCAGGCUUCAGUCCAGCGCCUAUUGGUACAGCCUCCAUGCCGGCUCUUAUAGACAUAGGCUUUAUGUUCUUUCAACAUACCCAGGGAAAGGAUCCACCCCAGUGGAUCCAGGCUUCAGGCACAACUUUACAGACCCAGGAAUCAGGCCUACCACAUGCUGACACAGGCACCAGGCCAGCCUGCCUGAGCACUUCGGCAACAAGUUCACCCGCAGACCACAUUGGACAUCCUACCAACAAUUCCUGGAUGACUGGGAAAGGGAUUUUCCAGACAAAGCCAGUAUGCAAGGAAUAGAAGACGUUUCUUGUUUUUCAAAUGUGCAGACACCAGUGCUCAGCCUAAAAAUCAAGGUCAACAACAGAGAAAAAAUGAUACCACC